rnacentral:miRNA from 1 species
GAUCAUGUUGGAGCUUCACC